rnacentral:rRNA from 1 species
CAAUAGCGUAUAUUAAAGUUGUUGCGGUAAAAAAGCUCGUAGUUGGAUUUCUACCGAAGAUAGCCGGUCGGGUCUUCGACCUUGUAUCUGGUUUUGUCUCUGGUAUCCUCAUAGGGAACGUUUCUGCGCUUUAUUGCGUGGUGCGGUAUCUAUGACUUUUACUUUGAGGAAAUUAGAGUGUUCACGGCAGGCAAACGCCUUGAAUAUAUUAGCAUGGAAUAAUAACAUAGGAUCUUCGUCCUAUUUUGUUGGUUUCUAGGGCUAAGAUAAUGAUUAAUAGGGAUAAUUGGGGGCAUCUGUAUCAACGCGUCAGAGGUGGAAUUCUUGGAUUGCGUUGCGACAAACUACUGCGAAAGCAUUUGCCAAGGAUGUUUUCAUUGA